GGAGUUAGGAAAUGCCGUGUGUCAACAGCAUGCGGUCUGACGAAGGCUCGAGAGGAAGCCACGGCUAACUCUGUGCCAGCAGCCGCGGUAAUACAGAGGUGGCAAGCGUUGCUCGGAAUCACUGGGCAUAAAGGGCGUCUAGGCGGAUCGAUCAGUCGGCUGUGAAAUCCCUCGGCUCAACCGAGGAAGGGCAUCCGAUACUGUCGGUCUUGAGGGCGAGAGGGGAGAGUG
rnacentral:rRNA from 1 species